AUUGAACGCUGGCGGAAUGCUUUACACAUGCAAGUCGAACGGCAGCACGGGUGCUUGCACCUGGUGGCGAGUGGCGAACGGGUGAGUAAUACAUCGGAACGUACCCAGUCGUGGGGGAUAACGUAGCGAAAGUUACGCUAAUACCGCAUACGUCCUGAGGGAGAAAGCGGGGGAGCGUAAGGCCUCGCGCGAUUGGAGCGGCCGAUGGCGGAUUAGCUAGUUGGUGGGGUAAAGGCCUACCAAGGCGACGAUCCGUAGCGGGUCUGAGAGGACGGGCCGCCAGAAUGGAACUGAGACGCGGUCCAUGCCCAUGCGGGAGGCAGCAGUGGGGAAUUUUGGACAAUGGGAGAAAGCCUGAUCCAGACAUGCCGUGUGAGGGAAGAAGGCCUUCGGGUUGUAAAGCUCUUUCGGCAGGGAAGAAACGGCUUGGAAUAAUACCCCGGGCUAAUGACGGUACCUGAAGAAGAAGCACCGGCUAACUACGUGCCAGCCGCCGCGGUAA
rnacentral:rRNA from 1 species